rnacentral:rRNA from 1 species
GACGAACGCUGGCGGCGUGCUUAACACAUGCAAGUCGAACGGAAAGGCCCUGCUUUUGUGGGGUGCUCGAGUGGCGAACGGGUGAGUAACACGUGAGUAACCUGCCCUUGACUUUGGGAUAACUUCAGGAAACUGGGGCUAAUACCGGAUAGGAGCUCCUGCUGCAUGGUGGGGGUUGGAAAGUUUCGGCGGUUGGGGAUGGACUCGCGGCUUAUCAGCUUGUUGGUGGGGUAGUGGCUUACCAAGGGUUUGACGGGUAGCCGGCCUGAGAGGGUGACCGGCGAAAUUGGGACUGAGAUACGGCCCAGACUCCUACGGGAGGCAGCAGUGGGGAAUAUUGCACAAUGGGCGGAAGCAUGAUGCAGCAACGCCGCGUGCGGGAUGACGGCCUUCGGGUUGUAAACCGCUUUCGCCUGUGACGAAGCGUGAGUGACGGUAAUGGGUAAAGAAGCACCGGCUAACUACGUG